AAGAGAGUGCAAGAGAACGUGAAACCGAUACAAUGGAAGCAGAUGGAGAUGACGUAUCUAGUGCGUAUUCAGUCGUCUGAUCGUGUGAUCGUCGACUUCGGCAUUCCGCAAGGUUGUCGUGGUUGGUGUUGUUAUGCGGUCUGGCGAUGCAGUUACGUACAGAGUGCGCCGAGUCAGUUGAUUUCGUUUGUUUAAGCUGGUCGAGAGGAUGCGUUUCGGCGUAAAACCUUGACUGGUGGAGACCAAUUGAUAUUAGCUGGUUUGUGUGACAUGGGUUUUUCGCGGUGAUGCGUUUUUUUCGUAUCGGAUUGAGUUGUGCGCAUGCGUACUACUCUUUCUGUUGCGGAUUGGACGUUGUCGUUGCACUACGUCCUUCUCGGUGUAUAGUCAUUCACCCAUUUGACCCGUCUUGAAACACGGACCAAGGAGUUUAUGGUGCACGCGAGUCAUUGGGCUUUGCAAACCCAAAGGCGUAAUGAAAGUGAGAUAUUAUUUGUUUGAAUGUGAGCGGUUGCUGUUUCGGCGGCUUCUGCGCAGCAUUGUCCCAUUUCGAGGACUUGUCCUGUUGUGGAGACUGAGCGUGUGCUAUGAGACCCGAAAGAUGGUGAACUAUGCCUGAACAGGAUGAAGUCAGAGGAAACUCUGGUGGAAGUCCGAAGCGGUUCUGACGUGCAAAUCGAUCGUCUGAUUUUGGUAUAGGGGCGCAAGACUAAUCGAACCAUC
rnacentral:rRNA from 1 species